rnacentral:snoRNA from 1 species
AAGACCGUACUUUUUAGGAUCAUUUCUAUAGUACGUGUCCCGUCUUUGUUCUCUAACAUAGACAACAUUCGCAGCCACGAUGAUGAGUCGUAGUGCCUUCUUCUGAGCGGGAAGCAGAUUACCAACGUUGCUUUUUAGUAACAUGUUAGUAAUCAUUGAUGACCGUUCCUUUUCGCUCUUCGGGGUGAUUGGAGGAGGAAAGCGCAUUCAGAGUGGG